AGGCAGGCGGUUUGAUAAGUCUGAAGUUAAAGGCUGUGGCUCAACCAUAGUUCGCUUUGGAAACUGUCAAACUUGAGUGCAGAAGGGGAGAGUGGAAUUCCAUGUGUAGCGGUGAAAUGCGUAGAUAUAUGGAGGAACACCGGUGGCGAAAGCGGCUCUCUGGUCUGUAACUGACGCUGAGGCUCGAAAGCGUGGGGAGCGAACA
rnacentral:rRNA from 1 species